ACUUUCUCUUUUAGGAAAUGAUUAGGUUCACAGUAACAUUAGAUUUUUCUCCUGAGCCUACACCUGAAGACCCAUUCAUUUUUAACUUUGAGAUAACCAAUACAAUAAGUUCUCUGUUUUAUGAAUUAUCAGAAAAAUAUGAACUACCUUCAGAUUUUGAAAUUACUCUCAAAGUUAAUGGUGAAAAAAAGCACACACUAAAUCAUCUAAAAGAAAAAACUCUCUCUGAAGUUUUAUGGCCUAUAUUAGAUGAAGAUGAAUAUGAACUAGUAAUAUCUCUCCUGAAGAUAAAAAAUAUGUCACUAUGUGUAUCAGAUGUUUCAGAAGAUGAAUUGUUUUUGGGUGCUUCUGCCAGUCCUACAGCUGGAGAACUUGCUCUUAGUGAAUAUCCCAGUACACAGUUUGAAGAAUCAACUUAUGAUAGCAGAAGAAGAAAGGCUAGACAGCUUAGUCCUGUCAUAGCGGAAUCACCUACUUAUGUGGGCCUAGUAAAUCAAGCCAUGACCUGUUAUUUAAAUAGUUUAUUGCAAGCAUUAUAUAUGACUCCAGAAUUUCGCAAUGCUCUUUAUAAUUGGGAGUUUGACGGAGCAAAUGAGACUCGCUCAAUACCUUAUCAGUUACAAAAGUUGUUUUUGAAUUUGCAAACUUCCAAUAAAUCUGCAGUGGAAACUACGGACUUAACUACAAGUUUUGGGUGGC